rnacentral:rRNA from 1 species
GACGAACGCUGGCGGCGUGCUUAACGCAUGCAAGUCGAACGGAAAGGCCCUGCUUUUGUGGGGUGCUCGAGUGGCGAACGGGUGAGUAACACGUGAGUAACCUGCCCUUGACUUUGGGAUAACUUCAGGAAACUGGGGCUAAUACCGGAUAGAAGCUCCUGCUGCAUGGUGGGGGUUGGAAAGUUUCGGCGGUUGGGGAUGGACUCGCGGCUUAUCAGCUUGUUGGCGGGGUAGUGGCUUACCAAGGCUUUGACGGGUAGCCGGCCUGAGAGGGUGACCGGCCACAUUGGGACUGAGAUACGGCCCAGACUCCUACGGGAGGCAGCAGUGGGGAAUAUUGCACAAUGGGCGGAAGCCUGAUGCAGCAACGCCGCGUGCGGGAUGACGGCCUUCGGGUUGUAAACCGCUUUCGCCUGUGACGAAGCGUGAGUGACGGUAAUGGGUAAAGAAGCACCGGCUAACUACAUG